rnacentral:rRNA from 1 species
AUUGAACGCUGGCGGCAGGCCUAACACAUGCAAGUCGAGCGGAUGAAGGGAGCUUGCUCCUGGAUUCAGCGGCGGACGGGUGAGUAAUGCCUAGGAAUCUGCCUGGUAGUGGGGGAUAACGUCCGGAAACGGGCGCUAAUACCGCAUACGUCCUGAGGGAGAAAGUGGGGGAUCUUCGGACCUCACGCUAUCAGAUGACCCUAGGUCGGAUUAGCUAGUUGGUGGGGUAAAGGCCUACCAAGGCGACGAUCCGUAACUGGUCUGAGAGGAUGAUCAGUCACACUGGAACUGAGACACGGUCCAGACUCCUACGGGAGGCAGCAGUGGGGAAUAUUGGACAAUGGGCGAAAGCCUGAUCCAGCCAUGCCGCGUGUGUGAAGAAGGUCUUCGGAUUGUAAAGCACUUUAAGUUGGGAGGAAGGGCAGUAAGUUAAUACCUUGCUGUUUUGACGUUACCAACAGAAUAAGCACCGGCUAACUUAGUG